UAGGGGUUGUUUACCAGAGGUAUCACGGAUCUGCAAAGAAAGCUUUUGUGCAUUGUUGAGAACACCAGUCGAGUGAGGAUGCAGAUUGAUGUGGCGAGGACUGAUUGUUGCGGAGCGUCGGUGGUAUGCCCAUAGGUCUACACAAAUGACCAACAAAUACGGACACUUCGUUUGAGGAAAAUGGGCUACAAUUCUUCAGCCAAGAACAUAUUAGGCGUGCAGCAAAUGGUUAUUAUUUCCACGAGUUGGAAUUAUUCUCUAAAUGUAAAUGGUAUAAUAUGUCCUAGGCUUUCCAUGGAGUAUCUAAGUUUGCAGGCGAAAUCUAAAAUUGCUUUUUGGCAGUCAACUCUGUAUGAGUAUCAUGAAGCACUCGAAGAGGUUUCUGUUUUCUGUACAGGGAACAAUGUUCUUUUCAAGAUGCAUGUAUCAUGUAUGCUCAGUAAUUUUGAUCUAACAACUUAUAUUGUGCACUAAAGGCAAUACGAUACAUAGAGGAAAUGGAUAGUACACUCCGAUCUGAAGCCUGCCAAUUUUGUGCUUAUAAAUGCAUCCGUGUAUUUCUGAAUGUGAGAAUGCGAAGCAACUUUGGGAAGUUUUCUAAAUUUUACAAUCAAUGUGAUUCCCAGAUGCAGGUUUCUUUUUCUACAUGAAUAAUAAUUUAAUUAAUCAUACUUGAUCUGCUUUACAUGCUACAGAUCUCUUCGUGUAUAUGAAGGUGUGGGAUUUGCUCCACACAACAAGGUUUCGAUGCUGUUUUCGAAGUUUUUGUGGUGACAAACGUUUUGCCCACAGGUAACCUGUUCUAUCAAGUUGUAGUGGUUGUUUGCUGCGGUGGACUGGAUGCCUUUCUUGCCAUUGGAGAGAUACGAUUUAUUAGAUUUAAUGUGUAUGCUCUUUUGUCUUUUACAUGUGUUAGUUUGUGCUAUGGUAGAUUAGAGAUGUUGGUUUAUGUUAUAUUUGAUUCAAAC